GCGGUUAACUCGGCUGGUAGAGCGCUCCGCUGGAAAUGGAGAGGUCCCUGGUUCCAUACCAGGACCAGGCG
rnacentral:tRNA from 2 species